AUUGAACGCUGGCGGCAUGCUUUACACAUGCAAGUCGAACGGGGUGAGGAGCUUGCUCCUCAUCUAGUGGCGAACGGGUGAGUAAUACAUCGGAACGUACCGUGUAGUGGGGGAUAACGUAGCGAAAGUUACGCUAAUACCGCAUACGAUCCACGGAUGAAAGCAGGGGACCUUCGGGCCUUGUGCUAUACGAGCGGCCGAUGUCUGAUUAGCUAGUUGGUGGGGUAAAGGCCCACCAAGGCAACGAUCAGUAGCGGGUCUGAGAGGAUGAUCCGCCACACUGGGACUGAGACACGGCCCAGACUCCUACGGGAGGCAGCAGGUAGGGGUUAAGUUUUGGAACAAGUGGGCGAC
rnacentral:rRNA from 1 species